rnacentral:rRNA from 1 species
CCUACGGGCGGCAGCAGUAGGGAAUAUUGCUCAAUGGGGGAAACCCUGAAGCAGCAACGCCGCGUGGAGGAUGAAGGUUUUCGGAUUUUAAACUCCUUUUGAUGGAGAAGAUAAUGACGGUAUCUAACGAAUAAGCACCGGCUAACUCCGUUCCAGCAGCCGCGGUAAUACGGCGGGUGCCAGCGUUAUUCGGAAUCACUGGGCGUAAAGAGCGCUUAGGCGGGACAGUAAGUCAGAUGUGAAAUCCUAUGGCUUAACCAUAGAACUGCAUUUGGGACUGUUAUUCUAGAGUAUGGGAGAGGUAGGUGGAAUUCUUGGUGUAGGGGUAAAAUCCGUAGAGAUCAAGAGGAAUACUCAUUGCGAAGGCGACCUGCUAGAACAUAACUGACGCUGAUGCGCGAAAGCGUGGGGAGCAAACAGGAUUAGAUACCCGAGUAGUC